rnacentral:lncRNA from 1 species
UAUUUUUGGCACACGGAGGCCGCCCGCCAAGUCUGGUGCCAUUCCGAGUCCCGCGGACGAACUUCGCCCACGCCCCCCACCAAGGCUAUAGCCCACCCGUUUUUUGGCCAUUUUUCCGCUGGGGGGUCUUGGGACCCCGAACUUCGGGGGCUGUUUUUUGGGCGCGGCUGUGCCCGUGGCCUAUUUUUGGCACACGGAGGCCGCCCGCCAAGUCUGGUGCCAUUCCGAGUCCCGCGGACGAACUUCGCCCACGCCCCCCACCAAGGCUGUAGCCCACCCGUUUUUUGGCCAUUUUUCCGCUGGGGGGUCUUGGGACCCCGAACUUCGGGGGCUGUUUUUUGGGCGCGGCUGUGCCCGUGGCCUAUUUUUGGCACACGGAGGCCGCCCGCCAAGUCUGGUACCAUUCGGAGUCCCGCGGACGAACUUCGCCCACGCCCCCCACCAAGGCUAUAGCCCACCCGUUUUUUGGCCAUUUUUCCGCUGGGGGGUCUUGGGACCCCGAACUUCGGGGGCUGUUUUUUGGGCGCGGCUGUGUCCGUGGCCUAUUUUUGGCACACGGAGGCCGCCCGCCAAGUCUGGUGCCAUUCCGAGUCCCGCGGACGAACUUCGCCCACGCCCCCCACCAAGGCUAUAGCCCACCGUUUUUUGGCCAUUUUUCCGCUGGGGGGUCUUGGGACCCCGAACUUCGGGGGCUGUUUUUUGGGCGCGGCUGUGCCCGUGGCCUAUUUUUGGCACACGGAGGCCGCCCGCCAAGUCUGGUGCCAUUCCGAGUCCCGCAGACGAACUUCGCCCACGCCCCCCACCAAGGCUAUAGCCCACCCGUUUUUAGGGCCUUUUUUCCGCUGGGGGGUCUUGGGACCCCGAACUUCGGGGGCUGUUUUUUGGGCGCGGCUGUGCCCGUGGCCUAUUUUUGGCACACGGAGGCCGCCCGCCAAGUCUGGUGCCAUUCCGAGUCCCGCGGACGAACUUCGCCCACGCACCCCACCAAGGCUAUAGCCCACCGUUUUUUGGCCAUUUUUCCGCUGGGGGUCUUGGGACCCCGACUUUGCGAGGGGCCUCGGGGUGCCAAAAAUAAGCUGCGGGCAAAGCCGCGCCCAAAAAUAAGCGCCCGAAGGUCGUGGUGCCAAAACCCCCCCGCGGAAAAAUGGCCAAAAAACGGGUGGGCUAUAUGUCAUGGCCCAAGCUUCCACAUGGCCUGGCCCAUGGAGAAUUCUAGAGCCAUGGAGACUUGUGUAGAGCAUGUAGAUAUUUCCAUUGUAAUUAAUGUGUUUAUGUAACUCUAGAGACUCUCUAGAUACUUCUUUGUACCCUAUAAAUAGGAGAAGGCCUCAUUUGGCCAAAUCAAUCAAAAAGCAAUAUACAAUUCCAGCACACAUAGCUUUGUAAGCAUUCUAUCGAGCAAUAUAAGUUCUUUCCUCCCAUACUUUGUGAGUUAGAGUGAUUCCUUUUUCCGCUUCUCAAAUCCAGCAACAGAUUUGGGUGUAAGGCUGACUUAGGGCCAAUAGAGUGCGAAUUUGGCGCCUAAGGCCGCACGGCAUAGCGUGGGAACAAUCCGGGCCGUGACAGUUGGUAUCAGAGCCGUCUACACUCGUGGGUAGUUGCGUUGUUCGAAAGGAAGGAUGUCAGAGAGCACUCAUGAUGACCAAAGGGGAAGGGAGCCUAACCCCAAUGCGAAGAAGGGGAAAAACAGCAAGGAGAAGUCAGUGGACUUGCUCAACGCCAUGGAGAAUCGGAUUGUCCGUGGGGAGAUUGCUGUCGCCGAGAUUAAAGAACGCCUCGAGAUCUUUGAGCAAAAGAUGGAGGAGGUGGAUGAUCUUGGUGAGCGGAUGGGCGAUCUAAGCCAAGAUGUGGUGGCGCAACGCCAAAGCCUUGAGGAGUUCCAAGCGGUGGUUCUGAACUCUAUUGAGGCGCUCAGGGCUCAAGUGGAGGAGCUUCACACGGGCCUUGAAGAGACUAAGAUGGAUUGGGCGCUUUGCAAGAAGGCGGUGGCCAGCGGGGUGCUCAACACCAAUGCCGCACUUCCAAUGAGGGUCGAGGUUCCGAGACCAAGGAGGUACGGGGGCAAGCGGGAUGCCCAGGAGAUCGAGAACUUCUUGUGGUCCAUGGAGAGGUACUUCGAGGCCACCAACAUCCAAGGUGAGCAAGAGAAGGUGAACAUUGCGACCGGGUACCUUGAGGAUCACGCGACCGCUUGGUGGCAGCGGAAGCAUGCAGAGAUUGUGCGCGGGACGUGCAUCAUCAACACAUGGGACUUGCUGAAGUGCGAGCUCAAGAGGCAAUUCUUUCUAGGGAAUGUGGCAUAUGAGGCUCGCAAGAAGAUGCGGGAGCUGAAGCACACGGGGCCUAUCUCAAAGUAUGUCGAUGAAUUCUCGAAGCUCAUGCUUCAAAUCGACAACAUGAACACAGAUGAUUUGCUGUUCAACUUCAUGGAGGGACUCCAGCCGUGGGCACAACGGGAGUUGCAGCGGCGCCAAGUGAAUGACAUCUCUACAGCCCUCACCGAGGCUGACACGCUUGUGGAAUUCCGGAAGGGUGAGUCUUCCAAGCCAAAGAAGGAUGAUAAGCCGCAACAUGGCAAAGGUGGGGGAGCGAAGGGAGAUAAGCCGCACCAUGAUGGCAAGGAUAAGCCACAAAAGAAGGAGGGCCAGAAGGAUGGUUCAAAGGAUGGCAAGAAGGAGGCUAAGCGGAAACACAAUUGCUUCCUUUGCGAUGGGGACCAUUGGGUGCGGGACUGCCCAAAGAAGAAGGCUUUCAACGCCAUGUUUAGCGAGACCGGGGAGAAGCAACCGGAGACACCACCAGCGGAUGCCGCCAACAUGGGUUGUCUCCAACUUUUCAAUGCACUAAAUGCCAAGCCCAUUCCAGCCAAGGUGCAGGACAAGUCACUCAUGCACGUUGAGGCUAUGAUCAAUGGAAAGCGAGCCCAAGCCUUGAUUGACACGGGAGCGUCCCACAACUUCAUCAAGGUAGAUGAAGCCAAGCGCCUUGGACUCAAGGUUGAGAAAUCAGAUGGCUGGCUCAAGACGGUGAAUUCGGAGGCCAAACCACUUAGCGGGGUAGCGCGAGAUGUGGAGCUACACCUAGGCCCUUGGCGAGGUAAGGCCAAUUUCUCGAUUGUACCUUUGGAUGAUUUUACACUUGUUUUGGGCAUGGAAUUUUUGCGACAGUUCAAUGCGGUGCCACUUCCGAGGUACAACUCAAUGUGUAUCCUAGAGGGAGCCCCAUGCUUGGUCCCGACCGCGAGUAAGGUCACACCACCAGGCCAACUUUCCGCCAUGCAAAUCAGCAAAGGUUGCAAGCGGCAUGAGGACACAUUUCUCGCCACCAUUCAUGAGGUUGGUGACGGGAAGGACACUAUGGCCAUGGAGCCCAUACCGGAGGCGGUAGGCCAAGUCCUUGAGGCGUAUGAGGACGUAAUGCCACCCGAGUUGCCAAAGUGGUUGCCGCCACGAAGGGAAGUAGACCACAAGAUUGAGCUGGAGCCGGGUGCCAAACCGCCUGUACGAGCACCUUACCGCAUGUCUCCACCGGAGCUAGAGGAGUUGCGGAGGCAAAUUAAGGAGCUGCUGGACGCAGGAUACAUCCAGCCCUCGAAAGCACCAUACGGAGCACCGGUGCUGUUCCAGCGGAAGCAUGAUGGCUCACUUCGACUAUGUAUCGACUACCGGGCUCUUAACAAGGUGACCGUGAAGAACAAAUACCCCAUCCCACUGAUUGCGGACUUGUUCGAUCAACUUGGACGGGCCAAAUAUUUCUCCAAGCUGGACCUUAGAUCGGGAUAUUACCAAGUACGGAUUGCGGAGGGAGAUGAGCCGAAGACCGCUUGUGUGACGAGGUAUGGAGCGUACGAGUUCAAGGUAAUGCCUUUCGGCCUCACCAAUGCUCCAGCCACAUUUUGCACGCUCAUGAACCGCAUAUUCCAGCCAUACCUUGAUCAGUUUGUAGUGGUGUAUCUUGAUGACAUCGUGGUCUAUAGCAACACCUUGGCGGAACAUGCUGAGCACUUGCGGGUCGUGUUCGGGGUGUUGCGGGAAAAUGAGCUGUAUGUGAAGAGGGAGAAGUGUUCGUUCGCAAAACUGGAGGUGGAUUUUCUUGGCCAUAAAAUCAGAGAUGGGACGCUGCUCAUGGACAAGGCCAAGGUCCGAGCCAUUGCCGAAUGGGAGCCGCCCACAAAGGUGACUGAGUUGCGCUCUUUCUUAGGACUUGCCAACUAUUAUCGGAGGUUCAUUGCCGCACCACUCACUGAUUUGCUCAAAAAGACUACCAAGUGGGAAUGGACGGAAAGGAGCCAGCAAGCCUUCGAUGCCCUCAAGAAGGCCGUGAUGGAAGAGCCGGUACUUGUGCUGCCAAACCAUGACUUACCAUUUGAGGUACACACUGAUGCUUCCGAUUUUGCUAUUGGAGGUGUGUUGAUGCAGGCCGAACAUCCAAUAGCCUUUGAGAGCCGAAAGCUCAACGAUACGGAGCGGCGGUACACGGUACAAGAGAAGGAGAUGACGGCAGUAGUGCACUGCUUGCGCACAUGGAGGCACUACUUGCUUGGGUCCAAGUUCGUGGUGAAGACGGACAACAUGGCCACUAGUUACUUCCAAAGCCAAAAGAAGCUUAGUCCGAAGCAAGCGAGAUGGCAAGAUUUCUUGGCCGAAUUCGACUACGUGCUGGAGUAUAAGCCCGGAAAGGCUAAUUUGGUAGCGGACGCCUUGAGUCGGAAGGUCGAGCUUGCUGCCAUGAGUCGGAUACAAGGAGAGCUUCUUACACUCAUCAAGGAGGGGACGGAGCAUGAUCCCUUGGCCAAGCAGCUGGUUUCUCUCGUACAACAAGGGAAAUCGAAGAGGUUUUGGGUCGAAGAUGGCCUUUUAUACACCAAGGGACGGCGUGUCUAUGUUCCGAAGUGGGGAAACUUGCGGCGGAACUUGAUCAAGGAGUGUCAUGAUACGAAGUGGGCUGGACACCCGGGACAAAGGCGGACACGGGCAUUGCUUGAGUCGGCAUACUAUUGGCCUCAGAUGCGGGAUGAAGUGGAGCAGUUCGUGCGGACGUGCUUAGUGUGCCAACAGGACAAAACAGAGCAACAAUGUCCCGCGGGGUUGCUUGAGCCACUGCCCACUCCGGAUCGACCGUGGGAGAGUAUAUCGAUGGAUUUCAUCACUUGUCUUCCAAAAUCGGAGGGGUUUGCGACUAUUGUUGUGGUGGUGGACAGAUUCUCGAAAUAUGCCACUUUCAUUCCUGCCCCGAAGGAGUGCACAGCGGAGGACACAGCCAAGUUUUUCUUUAGGCACGUGGUGAAGUAUUGGGGACUUCUGAAAUCCAUCAUUAGCGACCGCGACAGCCGGUUUACGGGGAGGUUUUGGACUGAGUUGUUCAAGCUUAUGGGGUCGGUGCUGCACUUUUCUAUGAGCUUUCAUCCGCAAACCGAUGGGCAAACGGAGAGGGUGAAUGCCUUGUUGGAGCUGUACUUACGGCAUUUUGUGAGCGCCAACCAGCAUGACUGGGCAAAGUUGCUGGACGUGGCCCAAUUUUCCUACAACUUGCAGUGGAGUGAGGCUACAUCGAGGAGCCCUUUUGAGGUGAUCAUGGGACAGCAGCCGCUUACACCACACACGCUCAUCACGAGCUAUACCGGGAGGUGUCCUGCAGCAUAUAAAGUGGCUAAGUCAUGGCAUGAGCAAACAGACAUAGCACGGGCGCACCUCGACAAAGCAACCAAGCGGAUGAAGAAAUGGGCAGAUAGCAAGCGUAGACACUUGGAGUUCAACGUGGGGGACAUGGCGCUAGUCAAGAUCGUUCCAGCCCAGCACAAGUCCACACGUUCGCUGCACAAGGGCCUCAUCCGGAAAUACGAGGGGCCAUUUCCCAUCAUCAAGAGGGUCGGCAAUGUGUCGUACAAGUUAGAGUUACCCUCUUGGCGAAAACUCCAUCCGGUCUUCCACGUGAGUUCCUUGAAGCCAUUCCAUGGGGAUACGGAAGAUCCGAAAAGGGGAGAAUCCAAGCGCCCUCCACUGGGCAACACAAGGGUCUAUAACAAAGAAGUGGAGGCCAUUUUGGCUGACCGUGUGGUUCGGAAGAAGAGUUUUCCACCAUGCCAAGAGUACUUUGUCAAAUGGAAGGGACUACCCGAGAGCGAAACAAGUUGGGAGCCCGCAUAUGAUUUGUGGCAGUUCCAAGACAAGAUCAAAGCCUUCCACAGCGAGUUGACGAGGACGUCUCCGGAAUAGGUGGGGGAGAAUGUCAUGGCCCAAGCUUCCACAUGGCCUGGCCCAUGGAGAAUUCUAGAGCCAUGGAGACUUGUGUAGAGCAUGUAGAUAUUUCCAUUGUAAUUAAUGUGUUUAUGUAACUCUAGAGACUCUCUAGAUACUUCUUUGUACCCUAUAAAUAGGAGAAGGCCUCAUUUGGCCAAAUCAAUCAAAAAGCAAUAUACAAUUCCAGCACACAUAGCUUUGUAAGCAUUCUAUCGAGCAAUAUAAGUUCUUUCCUCCCAUACUUUGUGAGUUAGAGUGAUUCCUUUUUCCGCUUCUCAAAUCCAGCAACAGAUUUGGGUGUAAGGCUGACUUAGGGCCAAUAGAGUGCGAAUUUGGCGCCUAAGGCCGCACGGCAUAGCGUGGGAACAAUCCGGGCCGUGACAUAUAGCCUUGGUGGGGGACGCGGGCGAAGUUCGUCCGCCGGACUCGGAAUGGGGCGAGACUUUGCGAGGGGCCUUGGGGUGCCAAAAAUAAGCCGCGGGCAAAGCCGCGCCCAAAAAUAAGUGCCUGAAGGUCGUGGUGCCAAAACCCCCCAGCGGAAAAAUGGCCAAAAAACGGGUGGGCUAUAGUCUUGGUGGGGGACACGGGCGAAGUUCGUCCGCCGGACUCGGAAUGGGGCGAGACUUUGUGAGGGGCCUCGGGGUGCCAAAAAUAAGCCGCGGGCAAAGCCGCGCCCAAAAAUAAGCGCCCGAAGGUCGUGGUGCCAAAACCCCCCAGCGGAAAAAUGGCCAAAAAACGGGUCGUGGGCUAUAGCCUUCGUGGGGGGCGCGGGCGAAGUUCGUCCGCCGGACUCGGAAUGGGGCGAGACUUUGCGAGGGGCCUCGGGGUGCCAAAACUAAGCCGCGGGCAAAGCCACGCCCAAAAAGAAGCGCCCGAAGGUCGUGGUGCCAAAACCCCCCAGCGGAAAAAUGGCCAAAAAACGGGUGGGCUAUAGCCUUGGUGGGGGGCGCGGGCCAAGUUCGUCCGCCGGACUCGGAAUGGGGCGAGACUUUGCGAGGGGCCUCGGGGUGCCAAAAAUAAGCCGCGGGCAAAGCCGCGCCCGAAGGUCAUGGUGCCAAAACCCCCCAGCGGAAAAAUGGCCAAAAAACGGGUGGGCUAUAGCCUUGGUGGGGGGUGUGGGCGAAGUUCGUCCGCCGGACUCGGAAUGGGGCGAGACUUUGCGAGGGGCCUCAGGGUGCCAAAGAUAAGCCGCGGGCAAAGCCGUGCCCAAAAAUAAGCGCCCGAAGGUCUUGGUGCCAAAACCCCCCAGCGGAAAAAUGGCCAAAAAACGGGUCGUGGGCUAUAGCCUUGGUGGGGGGCGCGGGCGAAGUUCGUCCGCCGGACUCGGAAUGGGGCGGGACUUUGCGAGGGGCCUCGGGGUGCGAACAAUAAGCCGCGGGCAAAGCCGCGCCAAAAAUAAUCGCCCGAAGGUCGUGGUGCCACAACCCCCCAGCGGAAAAAUGGCCAAAAAACGGGUGGGCUACAGCCUUGGUGGGCGGCGCGGGCGAAGUUCGUCCGCCGGACUCGGAAUGGGGCGAGACAUUGCGAGGGGCCUCGGGGUGCAAAAAAUAAGCCGCGGGCAAAGCCGCGGCCAAAAAGAAGCGCCCGAAGGUCGUGGUGCCAAAACCCCCCAGCGGAAAAAUGGCCAAAAAACGGGUGGGCUAUAGCCUUGGUGGGGGGCGCGGGCGAAGUUCGUCCGCCGGACUCAGAAUGGGGCGAGACUUUGCGUGGGGCCUCGGGGUACAAAAAUUAAGCCGCGGGCAAAGCCGCGCCAAAAAAUAAGCGCCCCAAGGUCGUGGUCCAAAACCCCCCAGCAGAAAAAUGGCCAAAAAACGGGUCGUGGGCUAUAGCCUUGGUAGGGGGCGCGGGCGAAGUUCGUCCGCCGGACUCGGAAUGGGGCGAGACUUUGCGAGGGGCCUUAGGGUGCCAAAAAUAAGCCGCGGGAAAAGCCGCGCCCAAAAAUAAGCGCCCGAAGGUCGUGGUGCCAAAACCCCCCAGCGGAAAAAUGGCCAAAAAACGGGUGGGCUAUAGCCUUGGUGGGAGGCGCGGGCGAAGUUCGUCCGCCGGACUCGGAAUGGGGCGAGACUUUGCGAGGGGCCUCGGGGUGCCAAAUAUAAGCCGCGGGCAAAGCCGCGCCCAAAAAUAAGCGCCGAAGGUCGUGGUGCCAAAACCCCCCAGCGGAACAAUGGCCAAAAAACGGGUCGUGGGCUAUAGCCUAGGUGGGGGCGCGGGCGAAGUUCUUCCGCCGGACUCGGAAUGGGGCGAGACUUUGCGAGGGGCCUCGGGGUACCAAAAAUAAGCCGCGGGCAAAGCCGCGCCCGAAGGUCGUGGUGCCAAAACCCCCCAGCGGAAAAAUGGGCAAAAAACGGGUGGGCUAUAGCCUUGGUGGGGGGCGCGGGCGAAGUUCGUCCGCCGGACUCGGAAUGGGGCGAGUCUUUGCGAGGGGCCUCGGGGUGCCAAAAAUAAGCCACGGGCAAAGCCGUGCCCAAAAAUAAGCGCCCGAAGGCCGUGUUGCCAAAACCCCCCAGCGGAAAAAUGGCCAAAAAACGGGUGGUCUAUAGCCUUGGUGGGGGGCGCGGGCGAAGUUCGUCCGCCGGACUCGGAAUGGGUCGAGACUUUGCGAGGGGCCUCAUGGUGCCAAAAAUAAGCCGCGGGCAAAGCCGCGCCGAAAAAUAAGCGCCCGAAGGUCGUGGUGCCAAAACCCCCCAGCGGAAAAAUGGCCAAAAAACGGGUCGUGGGCUACUGCCUUGGUGGGGGGCGAGGGCGAAGUUCGUCCGCCGGACUCGGAAUGGGGCGGGACUUUGCGAGGGGCCUCGGGGUGCCAAAAAUAAGCCGCGGGCAAGGCCGCGCCCAAAAAUAAGCGCCAGAAGGUCGUGGUGCCAAAACCCCCCGGCGGAAAAAUGCCCAAAAAACGGGUGGGCUACAGCCUUGGUGGGGGGCGCGGGCGAAGUUCGUCCGCCGGACUCGGAAUGGGGCGAGACUUUGGGAGGGGCCUCGGGGUGCGAAAAAUAAGCCGCGGGCAAAGCCGCGCCCAAAAAGAAGCGCCCGAAGGUCGUGGUGCCAAAACCCCCCAGCGGAAAAAUGGCCAAAAAACGGGUGGGCUAUAGCCUUGGUGGGGGGCGCGGGCGAAGUUAGUCCGCCGGACUCGGAAUGGAGCGAGACUUUGCGAGGGGCCUCGGGGUGCCAAAAAUAAGCCGCGGGCAAAGCCGCGCCCGAAGGUCAUGGUGCCAAAACCCCCCAGCGGAAAAAUGGCCAAAAAACGGGAGGGCUAUAGCCUUGGUGGGGGGCGCGGGCGAAGUUCGUCCGCCGGACUCGGAAUGGGGCGAGACUUUGCGAGGGGCCUCAGGGUGCCAAAAAUAAGCCGCGGGCAAAGCCGCGCCCAAAAAUAAGCGCCCGAAGGUCGUGGUGCCAAAACCCCCCAGCGGAAAAAUGGCCAAAAAAUGGGUCGUGGGCUAUAGCCUUGGUGGGGGGCGCGGGCGAAGUUCGUCCGCCGGAGUCGGAAUGGGGCGAGACUUUGCGAGGGGCCUCGGGGUGCCAAAAAUAAGCCACGGGCAAAGCCGCGCCAAAAAAUAAGCGCCGAAGGUCGUGGUGCCAAAACCCCCCAGCGGAAAAAUGGCCAAAAAACGGGUCGUGGGCGAUAGCCUAGGUGGGGGCGCGGGCGAAGUUCGUCCGCCGGACUCGGAAUGGGGCGAGACUUUGCGAGGGGCCUCGGGGUACCAAAAAUAAGCCGCGGGCAAAGCCGCGCCCAAAAAUAAGCGCCCGAAGGUCGUGGUGCCAAAACCCCCCAGCGGAAAAAUGGGAAAAAAACGGGUGGGCUAUAGCCUUGGUGGGGGGCGCGGGCGAAGUUCGUCCGCCGGACUCGGAAUGGGACGAGACUUUGCGAGGGGCCUCGGCGUGCCAAAAAUAAGCCGCGGGCAAAGCCGCGCCCAAAAAUAAGCUCCCGAAGGUCGUGGUGCCAAAACCCCCCAGCGGAAAAAUGGCCAAAAAACGGGUCGUGGGCUAUAGCCUUGGUAGGGGGCGCGGGCGAAGUUCGUCCGCCGGACUCGGAAUGGGGCGGGACUUUGCGAGGGGCCUCGGGGUGCCAAAAAUAAGCCGCGGGCAAGGCCGCGCCAAAAAUAAGCGCCCGAAGGUCGUGGUGCCAAAACCCCCCAGCGGAAAAAUGGCCAAAAAACGGGUGGGCUACAGCCUUGGUGGGGGGCGCGGGCGAAGUUCGUCCGCCGGACUCGGAAUGGGGCGAGACUUUGCGAGGGGCCUCGGGGUGCGAAAAAUAAGCCGCGGGCAAAGCCGCGCCCAAAAAGAAGCGCCCGGAGGUCGUGGUGCCAAAACCCCCCAGCGGAAAAAUGGCCAAAAAACGGGUGGGCUAUAGCCUUGGUGGGGGGCGCGGGCGAAGUUAGUCCGCCGGACUCGGAAUGGAGCGAGACUUUGCGAGGGGCCUCGGGGUGCCAAAAAUAAGCCGCGGGCAAAGCCGCGCCCGAAGGUCAUGGUGCCAAAACCCCCCAGCGGAAAAAUGGCCAAAAAACGGGAGGGCUAUAGCCUUGGUGGGGGGCGCGGGCGAAGUUCGUCCGCCGGACUCGGAAUGGGGCGAGACUUUGCGAGGGGCCUCAGGGUGCCAAAAAUAAGCCGCGGGCAAAGCCGCGCCCAAAAAUAAGCGCCCGAAGAUCGUGGUGCCAAAACCCCCCAGCGGAAAAAUGGCCAAAAAAUGGGUCGUGGGCUAUAGCCUUGGUGGGGGGCGCGGGCGAAGUUCGUCCGCCGGAGUCGGAAUGGCGCGAGACUUUGCGAGGGGCCUCGGGGUGCCAAAAAUAACCCACGGGCAAAGCCGCGCCAAAAAAAAUCCGCCCAAGGUCGUGGUGUCAAAACCCCUAGCGGAAAAAUGGUCAAAAAACGGGUCGUGGGCGNNNNNNNNNNNNNNNNNNNNNNNNNNNNNNNNNNNNNNNNNNNNNNNNNNNNNNNNNNNNNNNNNNNNNNNNNNNNNNNNNNNNNNNNNNNNNNNNNNNNACUCGGAAUGGGGCGAGACUUUGCGAGGGGCCUAGGGGUACCAAAAAUAAACCGCGGGCAAAGCCGCGCCCAAAAAUAAGCGCCCGAAGGUCGUGGUGCCAAAACCCCCCAGCGGAAAAAUGGGAAAAAAACGGGUGGGCUAUAGCCUUGGUGGGGGGCGCGGGCGAAGUUCGUCCGCCGGACUCGGAAUGGGGCGAGACUUUGCGAGGGGCCUCGGCGUGCCAAAAAUAAGCCGCGGGCAAAGCCGCGCCCAAAAAUAAGCGCCCGAAGGUCGUGGUGCCAAAACCCCCCAGCGGAAAAAUGGCCAAAAAACGGGUCGUGGGCUAUAGCCUUGGUGGGGGGCGCGGACGAACUUCGUCCGCAGGACUCGUAAUGGGGCGAGACUAUGCGAGGGGCCUCGGGGUGCCAAAAAUAAGNNNNNNNNNNNNNNNNNNNNNNNNNNNNNNNNNNNNNNNNNNNNNNNNNNNNNNNNNNNNNNNNNNNNNNNNNNNNNNNNNNNNNNNNNNNNNNNNNNNNGCGGCCAAAAACAAGCGCCCAAAGGUCGUGGUACCAAAACCCCCCAGCGGAAAAAUGGCCAAAAAACGGGUGGGCUAUAGCCUUGGUGGGGGGCGCGGGCGAAGUUCGUCCGCCGGACUCGGAAUGGGGCGAGACUUUGCGAGGGGCCUCGCGGUGCCAAAAAUAAGCCGCGGGCAAAGCCGCUCCCAAAAAUAAGCGCCCGAAGGUCGUGGUGCCAAAACCCCCCAGCGGAAAAAUGGCCAAAAAACGGGUGAGCUAUAGCCUUGGUGGGGGGCGCGGGCGAAGUUCGUCCGCCGGACUCGGAAUGGGGCGAGACUUUGCGAGGGGCCUCAGGGUGCCAAAAAUAAGCCGCGGGCAAAGCCGCGCCCAAAGGUCGUGGUGCCAAAACCCCCCAGCGGAAAAAUGGCCAAAAAACGGGUCGUGGGCUAUUGCCUUGGUGGGGGGCGCGGGCGAAGUUCGUCCGCCGGACUCGGAAUAUGGCGUGACUUUGUGAGGGGCCUCGGGGUGCCAAAAAUAAGCCGCGGGCAGAGCCGCACCCAAAAAUAAGCGCCCGAAGGUCGUGGUGCCAAAACCCCCCAGCGGAAAAAUGGCCAAAAAACGGGUGGGCUACAGCCUUGGUGGGGGGCGCGGGCGAAGUUCGUCCGCCGGACUCGGAAUGGGGUGAGACUUUGCGAGGGGCCUCGCGGUGCCAAAAAUAAGCCGCGGGCAAAGCCGCGCCCAAAAAUAAGCGCCCGAAGGUCGUGGUGCCAAAACCCCCCAGCGGAAAAAUGGCCAAAAAACUGGUCGUGGGCUAUAGCCUUGGUGGGGGGCGCGGGCGAAGUUCGUCCGCCGGACUCGGAAUGGGGCGAGACUUUACGUCGGGCCUCGGGGUGCCAAAAAUAAGCCGCGGGCACAGCCGCGCCCAAAAAUAAGCGCCCGAAGGUCGUGGUGCCAAAACCCCACAGCGGAAAAAUGGCCAAAAAACGGGUGGGCUACAGCCUUGGUGGGGGGCGCGGGCGAAGUUCGUCUGCCGGACUCGGAAUGGGGCGAGACUUUGCGAGGAGCCUCGGGGUGCCAAAAAUAAGCCGCGGGCAAAGCCGCGCCCAAAAAUCAGCGCCCGAAGGUCGUGGUGCCAAAACCCCCCAGCGGAAAAAUGGGCAAAAAACGGGUGGGCUAUAGCCUUGGUGGGGGGCGCGGGCGAAGUUCGUCCGCCGGACUCGGAAUGGGGCGAGACGUUGCGAGGGGCCUCGGGGUGCCAAAAAUAAGCCGCGGGCAAAGCCGCGCCCAAAAAUAAGCGCCCGAAGGUCGUGGUGCCAAAACCCCCCAGCGGAAAAAUGGCCAAAAAACGGGUCGUGGGCUAUAGCCUUGGUGGGGGGCGCGGGCGAAGUUCGUCCGCCGGACUCGAAAUGGGGCGAGACUUUGCGAGGGGCCUCGGGGUGCAAAAAAUAAGCCGCGCCCGAAAAUAAGCGCCCGAAGGUCGUGGGGCCAAAACCCCCCAGCGGAAAAAUGGCCAAAAAACGGGUCGUGGGCUAUAGCCUUGGUGGGGGGCGCGGGCGAAGUUCGUCCGCCGGGCUCGGAAUAGGGCGAGGCCUUGCGAGGGGCCUUGGGGUGCCAAAAAUAAGCCGCGGGGAAAGCCGCGCCCAAAAAUAAGCGCCCGAAGGUCGUGGUGCCAAAACCCCCCAGCGGAAAAAUGGCCAAAAAACGGGUCGUGGGCUAUAGCCUUGGUGGGGGGCGCGGGCGAAGUUCGUCCGCCGGACUCGGAAUGGGGCGAGACUUUGCGAGGGGCCUCGGGGUGCCAAAAAUAAGCCGCGCCCAAAAAUAAGCGCCCGAAGGUCGUGGUGCCAAAACACCCCAGCGGAAAAAUGGCCAAAAAAUGGGUGGGCUAUAGCCUUGGUGGGGGGCGCGGGCGAAGUUCGUCCGCCGGACUCGGAAUGGGGCAAGACUUUGCGAGGGGCCUCGGGGUGCCAAAAAUAAGCCACGGGGAAAGCCGCGCCCAAAAAUAAGCGCCCGAAGGUCGUGGUGACAAAACCCCCCAGCGGAAAAAUGGCCAAAAAACGGGUCGUGGGCUAUAGCCUUGGUGGGGGGCGCGGGCGAAGUUCGUCCGCCGGACUCGGAAUGGGGCGAGACUUUGCGAGGGGCCUCGCGGUGCCAAAAAUAAGCCGCGGGCAAAGCCACGCCCAAAAAUAAGCGCCCGAAGGUCGUGGUGCCAAAACCCCCCAGCGGAAAAAUGGCCAAAAAACGGGUGAGCUAUAGCCUUGUUGGGGGCCGCGGGCGAAGUUCGUCCGCCGGACUCGGAAUGGGGCGAGACUUUGCGAGGGGCCUCAGGGUGCCAAAAAUAAGCCGCGGGCAAAGCCGCGCCCAAAGGUCGUGGUGCCAAAACCCCCCAGGGGAAAAAUGGCCAAAAAACGGGUCGUGGGCUAUAGCCUUGGUGGGGGGCGCGGGCGAAGUUCGUCCGCCGGACUCGGAAUGGGGCGAGACUUUGCGAGGGGCCUCGGGGUGCCAAAAAUAAGCCGCGGGCAAAGCCGCGCCCAAAAAUAAGCGCCCGAAGUUCGUGGUGCCAAAACCCACCAGCGGAAAAAUGGCCAAAAAACGGGUGGGCUAUUGCCUUGGUGGGGGGCGCGGGCGAAGUUCGUCCGCCGGACUCGGAAUGGGACGAGACUUUGUGAGGCGCCUCGGGGUGCCAAAAAUAAGCCACGGACAAAGCCGCGCCCAAAAAUAAGCGCCCGAAGGUCGUGGUGCCAAAAGCCCCCAGCGGAAAAAUGGCCAAAAAACGGGUAGGCUAUAGCCUUGGUGGCGGGCGCGGGCGAAGUUCGUCCGCCGGACUCGAAAUGGGGCGAGACUUUGCGAGGGGCCUCGGGGUGCCAAAAAUAAGCCGUGGGGAAAGCCGCGCCCAAAAAUAGGCGCCCGAAGGUCGUGGUGCCAAAACCCCCCAGCGGAAAAAUGGCCAAAAAACGGGUCGUGGGCUAUAGCCUUGGUGGGGGGCGCGGGCGAAGUUCGUCCGCCGGACUCUGAAUGGGGCGAGACUUUACGAGGGGCCUCGCGGUGCCAAAAAUAAGCCGCGGGCAAAGCCGCGCCCAAAAAUAAGCGCCCGAAGGUCGUGGUGCCAAAAUCCCCCAGCGGAAAAAUGGCCAAAAAACGGGUCGUGGGCUAUAGCCUUGGUGGGGGGCGCGGGCGAAGUUCGUCCGCCGGACUCGGAAUGGGGCGAGACUUUGCGAGGGGCCUCGGGGUGCCAAAAAUAAGCCGCGGGCAAAGCCGCGCCCGAAGGUCGUGGUGCCAAAACCCCCCAGCGGAAAAAUGGCCAAAAAACGGGUCGUGGGCUAUAGCCUUGGUGGGGGGUGCGGGCGAAGUUCGUCCGCCGGACUCGGAAUGGGGCGAGACUUUGCGAUGGGCCUCAGGGUGCCAAAAAUAAGCCGCGGGCAAAGCCGCGCCCAAAAAUAAGCGCCCGAAGGUCGUGGUGCCAAAACCCCCCAGCGGAAAAAUGGGCUAAAAACGGGUGGGCUAUAGCCUUGGUGGGGGGCGCGGGCGAAGUUCGUCCGCCGGACUCGGAAUGGGACGAGACUUUGCGAGGGGCCUCGGGGUNNNNNNNNNNNNNNNNNNNNNNNNNNNNNNNNNNNNNNNNNNNNNNNNNNNNNNNNNNNNNNNNNNNNNNNNNNNNNNNNNNNNNNNNNNNNNNNNNNNNNNNNNNNNNNNNNNNNNNNNNNNNNNNNNNNNNNNNNNNNNNNNNNNNNNNNNNNNNNNNNNNNNNNNNNNNNNNNNNNNNNCCAAAAAAAAGCCGCGGACAAAGCCGCCGCCCAAAAAUAAGCGCCCGAAGGUCGUGGUGCCAAAAGCCCCCAGCGGAAAAAUGGCCAAAAAACGGGUAGGCUAUAGCCUUGGUGGCGGGCGCGGGCGAAGUUCGUCCACCGGACUCGAAAUGGGGCGAGACUUUGCGAGGGGCCUCGGGGUGCCAAAAAUAAGCCGUGGGGAAAGCCGCGCCCAAAAAUAGGCGCCCGAAGGUCGUGGUGCCAAAACCCCCCAGCGGAAAAAUGGCCAAAAAACGGGUCGUGGGCUAUAGCCUUGGUGGGGGGCGCGGGCGAAGUUCGUCCGCCGGACUCGGAAUGGGGCGAGACUUUGCGAGGGGCCUCGGGGUGCCAAAAAUAAGCCGCGGGCAAAGCCGCGCCCGAAGGUCGUGGUGCUAAAACCCCCCAGCGGAAAAAUGGCCAAAAAACGGGUCGUGGGCUAUAGCCUUGGUGGGGGGUGCGGGCGAAGUUCGUCCGCCGGACUCGGAAUGGGGCGAGACUUUGCGAUGGGCCUCAGGGUGCCAAAAAUAAGCCGCGGGCAAAGCCGCGCCCAAAAAUAAGCGCCCGAAGGUCGUGGUGCCAAAACCCCCCAGCGGAAAAAUGGGCUAAAAACGGGUGGGCUAUAGCCUUGGUGGGGGGCGCGGGCGAAGUUCGUCCGCCGGACUCGGAAUGGGACGAGACUUUGCGAGGGGCCUUGGGGUGCCAAAAAUAAGCCACGGGCAAAGCCACGCCCAAAAAUAAUCUCCCGAAGGUCGUGGUGCCAAAACCCCCCUGCGGAAAAAUGGGCAAAAAACGGGUGGGCUAUAGCCUUGGUGGGGGGCGCGGGCGAAGUUCGUCCGCCGGACUCGGAAUGGGGCGAGACUUUGCGAGGGGCCUCGGGGUGCCAAAAAUAAGCCGCGGGCAAAGCCGCGCCCAAAAAUAAGCGCCCGAAGGUCGUGGUGCCAAAACCCCCCAGCGGAAAAAUGGCCAAAAAACGGGUCGUGGGCUAUAGCCUUGGUGGGGGGCGCGGGCGAAGUUCGUCCGCCGGACUCGGAAUGGGGCGAGACUUUGCGAGGGGCCUCGGGGUGCCAAAAAUAAGCCGCGCCCGAAAAUAAGCGCCCGAAGGUCGUGGGGCCAAAACCCCCCAGCGGAAAAAUGGCCAAAAAACGGGUCGUGGGCUAUAGCCUUGGUGGGGGGCGCGGGCGAAGUUCGUCCGCCGGACUCGGAAUGGGGCGAGACAUUGCGAGGGGCCUCGGGGUGCCAAAAAUAAGCCGCGCCCGAAAAUAAGCGCCCGAAGGUCGUGGGGCCAAAACCCCCCAGCGGAAAAAUGACCAAAAAACGGGUCGUGGGCUAUAGCCUUGGUGGGGGGCGCGGGCGAAUUUCGUCCGCCGGACUC